CUCAGGAGAAAAUCCAGAUCUACGCGUGACACACAGACUCCCGCCCACACACACAUACACACGCACACACACACAGACACACUAACAUUUGGUUCUAAACAAAGACACACACUAAGAGUUAGACACAUUAAUAUUUAGAUGUACACACAGACACACUAACAUUUAGAUGUACACACAGACACACUAACAUUUGGUUCUAAACAAUGACACACACUAAUAUUUAGAUGUACACAAAGACACAAUAACAAUUAGAUAUACACACAAACACAAUAUCAUUUGGUUCUAAACAAAGACACACACUAAUAUUUAGAUGUACACAAAGACACACACUAAUAUUUAGAUGUACACAAAGACAUAUUAAUAUUUGGAUGUACACACAGACACACUAACAUUUGAUGCUAAACAAAGACACAUUAAUAUUUAGAUGUACACACACACUAACAAUUAGAUGUACACACAGACACACUAUCAUUUAGUUCCAAACAAUGACACACACUAAUAUUUAGAUGUACACAAAGACACAAUAACAAUUAGAUAUACAAACAGAAACACUAACAAUUAGAUCUACACACAGACGCACUAACAAUUAGAUGUACACACGGACACACUAACAAUUAGAUCUACACACAGACGCACUAACAAUUAGAUGUACACACUGACACACUAACAAUUAGAUCUACACACAGACACACUAACAAUUAGAUGUACACACAGACACAUCCUGAUGAUCCUCCUCACAUCUCUUCUCCUUGUCUGCAGACCAAUAGGACCCCAUCAGGACGCCACGUCAUCGGGACGCUACGUCAUUGGGACGCCAUCAGGACGCCACGUCAUCGGGACGCCAUCAGGACGCCACGUCAUCGGGACGCCAUCAGGAUUCCAUCAGGACGCCAUCAGAACGCCGCGUCAACCCCUCAGGAGCAAAUCCAGAUCUAAUCAUGACACACACACACACACACACACACACAGAUGUACUCAGAGACACACUAACAUUUAGACACGCUGGCAAAUUUAGACACACACACACACACAGAUGUACUCAGAGACACACUAACAUUUAGACACGCUGGCAAUUUAGAUGUACAAUUAGAUGUACACACAGACACACUAAUUAUUUGGUUCUAAACAAUGACACACACUAAUAUUUAGAUGUACACACAGACACACUAACAUUUGGUUCUAAACAAAGACACACUAAUAUUUAGAUGUGCACAAAGACAUAUUAAUAUUUAGAUGUACACACAGACACACUAACAUUUAGAUGUACACACAGACACACUAACAAUUAGAUGUAAACACAGACACACUAACAACAUUAACAUGUUAAUAACUUUUCUUCUUUUCUCUCUUCUCAGGAACUGCUUCAGAUGUUUUCCCAAUGAUUGUGUUAUUAUUAUUGUUAAAUAUGUCGUCUGUUUAUUAUUUUAACAAUGAAAAUACAUUUUAAUAAAAAUAAAACCAAAUGAAUCCAUCUUGUUUUCUUCAGACCAAAGAGAAUCACAUGUUCUUUAUUAUUCGUUGACUUGAAUGAAGUGAAACAACAAUGAUCUUG
ensembl:lncRNA